rnacentral:rRNA from 1 species
UACGUAGGGGGCGAGCGUUGUCCGGAAUUAUUGGGCGUAAAGAGCGUGUAGGCGGUUCGGUAAGUCUGCCGUGAAAACCUGGGGCUCAACCCCGGGCGUGCGGUGGAUACUGCCGGGCUAGAGGGUGGUAGAGGCGAGUGGAAUUCCCGGUGUAGCGGGGAAAUGCGCAGAUAUCGGGAGGAACACCAGUCGCGAAGGCGGCUCGCUGGGCCAUUCCUGACGCUGAGACGCGAAAGCUAGGGGAGCGAACAGG